GUGGAAAGGUUUAUCUCGAGGAGGACAUCACAUGGAACGGUUCAAUAUUUGGUGAAAUGGAAGGGAUACAGCGCGUUUCAUAAUAGUUGGAAAGAUGAAGAUAACUUGACUACCGAUCUUAUUAGAACUUAUGACAAGCCAAUUGUUGAUAAAGAGAGGCUAACUCGAAACGUUGAUAACCCUGAGAUUAUCAGUCCUCUUUAAAUUAAGAAGUAAAUCAAGGUCUAAUGCUAUUUUGGACUUAGAUCAUGAUUGUUUUCGUUUUUUGUUUUAUGGUAAAGGAAGGGAGGGAAGGGAGAAGGGGUAUACUUUGUUAGAUAAGGAUGAUUUUAAAAAAUGUGAUUUACUGGAAAACUGGGAUAGGGUUAUUGAUUGUAAUGGGGAUGGGGUAAGGGUUAAAUAUCCAUUUAAAAUUGGAUUGUUUUUAACAAAAUCACCAAAAACAUAUUCUAUUAUAAAUGGGAAAAUUCAAGAA